GGCGCUGUGUAUAAAAACAACAUGACGGACCGGCACGCGAUUGCAUCAUCCUAGCCGCCCGCGUUGAUCUCCUUGUUUUCGGUGGUUUUUGACAGAUUAAGUGCCUGAACGGACCCAUAAUCGUGUUCUGGAUGUUUCUAAAAGGAGGUGUCAUUUUCCUGGGCAAAGAAUGAAUUUUUGCCGAAUUUCCUGGAAUGCCCUUUUCCUGAUUGCACGAGCUUUGAUCUGACUUCGGACUCUCGCAGUUGGACGGUUUGAAUGAACAUCUUGGCCUGGCAAUCUUCAAUUAGGAUGCGCGUCAUUUCUCUAUAGAAAAGAGAAGAAUCUUUGCUGGUAUGUGUCGCUGCUGAGUUAUCGUCGAUCUUGGAGAUGGACCAAACUUGCAGCCUUGGCAUUUAGAUCUCUCAUGAGCAACAAGGGCAUCCUGAGAAGCUGCCAAAGAUAUGGUUCUUCUGCGUCGUUUGCAAAAUGUGAAUAGCAGAGGCCGGAAGAGCAAGAAAAUGAAAAAACAACUCAAUUCACCAGUCACUCAAGCCCUUAAUGUUUUAAGCCGCCAGUAUUUUGGAUGUUAUGUACUAUUUUAAUGGGUUUGUGGCCUUUGUGGGACCAAAAAAGCUGCUGCACGAUACGAUAACGUGAUAAUUUAAUUAUAAAUAUUCUAUUGUGCCUUAAAUUAAAAUAGCAGCUCUCAAUUGAAGAAUAUUAUCCACCAUAUAUGUCAUUGUAAAUUGUAAAAAAGAAAACAGGAACUACUAUCAUGGGAAUUUUAAACUAAUAAUUAUUUAUUUAAAAGUAAUGUAAUUUCUAUUAAAUGGCUUUUUAGCGGGUGCCAUUAAUUUAAAAAUUUAUUUAUGUAUUGUAACGCUCGUCUUUGGAGUUAAUUGCUUUGAUUUACUUUAAGAGUGGCUCAAAGAGCCAAUUGCCAGAUUUGUCUCUUGUCUUGGGCUGCUGUUAGGACUCUCGCGUGGGUGUUCCCGUAAUUUAACUUAAAUUGAACUCCUUUGGCCGGUCUGCAGCACCCAGAGCUGGUCACUCGCCUGGUUCGCUCGAAUAAUUAAGUGGUGUUCCGAAAUCUGCAACUGUCAGACGGACAGUGUUAUAAAUAUGAAGGUUUACGUUUUUUAGAUUGUUUUAAGUCAAACAACUUACUUAUUUCCAGUGGGAUCUCAAAUAAUCAAUACGACUUCCAUCUAUUUUAACACUCGAGCUUAUGUUAUACGAUAGAGAUGACCAUCACCCGCGUCGUAUUGCGUAUUGAUUGUUUGAGAUCCCCACUGGAAAUAUGCAAGUUUAACUUAAACAAUCUAAUAAACACAAGUCUUCGUAUUUUGACCCUGUCGGUUAAGACAAUUACGGAGUUCGGGGAUGCCGCAUCUCGGCCACGAAAGCGAACCAAGUGAGAGUCCGGCACUGAGUGGUGAAGACCUGUUAAAGGAGUUCAGUUCAAGUCAUAUUUCAGGAACUCCCACGCAAGAAAUAACACAGAACAGGCAAAUCUGUCAGCUGGCUCUAUUUAAGCCACUCCAGACAGUCGUGAAAUUAAGCAAAUAACACCUAGACGAGCGUUAUAUAAUAAAUUCUUAAUAGGAAAUGUACCAGAACAUUUUGUAAUGUGUGAUCUUUGAUUAAAGAAAUAAAUUCCAAUUAAUAGAACCCAAAAAAAUUUUCAUUUACAUCAACAACGCAGCAACGUUGAUGCGUUGUUGAUCGUCAACAACGAUA